rnacentral:misc_RNA from 1 species
AGCAGCCGCGGUAAUUCCAGCUCCAAUAGCGUAUAUUAAAGUUGUUGCAGUUAAAAAGCUCGUAGUUGAAUUUCGGGAUCAAUUUGCUGGUCGUGCCUCUGGUACGUACUGGUAUUAUUGGUUUCUCCCUUCUGACGAACCAUGAUGUCAUUAAUUUGAUGUCGUGGAGAAUCAGGACUGUUACUUUGAAAAAAUUAGAGUGUUUAAAGCAGGCAUUAGCUUGAAUACAUUAGCAUGGAAUAAUGAAAUAGGACGUUUGAUCCUAUUUUGUUGGUUUCUAGGAUUGACGUAAUGAUUAAUAGGGAUAGUUGGGGGCAUUAGUAUUCAAUUGUCAGAGGUGAAAUUCUUGGAUUUAUUGAAGACUAACUACUGCGAAAGCAUUUUGCCAAGGAUGUUUUCAUUAAUCAAGAACGAAAGUUAGGGGAUCGAAGACGAUCAGAUACCGUCGUAGUCUUAACCAUAAACUAUGCCGACUAGGGAUCGGAUGAUGUUAAUUUUUUAAUGACUCAUUCGGCGCCUU